rnacentral:rRNA from 1 species
GACAGAGGUGCCAAGCGUUAGGCGGAAUCACUGGGCUUAAAGCGUGUGUAGGCGGAUCGUUAAGUACCUUGUGAAAUCCCACGGCUCAACCGUGGAACGGCUGGGUAUACUGGCGGUCUUGGGCCAUUCAGGGGCGACUGGAACAAGCGGUGGAGCGGUGAAAUGCGUAGAUAUCGCUUGGAACGCCGAAGGUGAAAACAGGUCGCUGGGGAUGUGCCGACGCUGAGACACGAGAGCCAGGGGAGCAAACGGG